GGUCCAAUAGUGUACAGGUUAACACGCGCGAUGACUUGAUGAUAGAUCUCAUUAGUUCUCUGUGAGAUCCAGGUUCGAGUCCUGGUUGGACCG